rnacentral:rRNA from 1 species
UUUAGUAAUUGCGAAUGAACAAGGAUAUGCUUAGCUUGACAAAUGGAGCUAUUGGCUUUGAAUUGUAUUGUGGAAAUGUAUUACCAACAGAGGUGCAGGUGCCAGCCUAUUGAAAUAAAGCGUCAAUGAGGGUGAGAAUCCUGUUUGUCAUGUGCAGCCCUUUGUGCACGGUGUAUAUUUGCUGAGUCACACUCCUUGGCAUUGGAAUGCAAAGUGGGUGGUAAGUUUCAUGUAAAGGUAAACAUGCAAUUGAGACUGAUAGCACACAAGUACCAUGAGGGAAAUAUGAAAAGGACUUUGAAAAGAGAAUUAAAUGAGUUUGUAUUUGCUGAACACAAAGUAAACAGACUUGAUUUGCUUGGUGGGAGUGUUGCACUUGCUUGACAAGAGCUUUGGGCUGUGGGUGUAAUGAUUCUUUCUUUGCAUGCCAGUUUCUAUUUGUACAUCUGAUUACCUUUGCACAUGAAUGAUAAGUCUCCUGUGGGGGGUGGAUUGCAUGUGCAUGUAAUGAUUUGUGUUUUGAUAAAUGUGUCUGGUGUAUGUGUGUGUUCCUGUGCUUGGGGAUGCUUCCUUCCUUGGACUUACAAGCCCUGACACACACAUGCUGGCAAAAUGCUUCUGCUUGACCCGUCUUGAAACACGGACCAAGGAGUCUAACAGAUGUGCAAAGUUUGAAGGUGGUAUACCUUUGUGUGCAAUGAAAGUGUCAGCUGGGAUAUGUGCACCAGCACCCAAUUAAUUAGCGGACAGAGGUUUGAGUUGGAGCAUAUCUAUUAGGACCCGAAAGAUGGUGAACUAUGCCUGAACAGAAUGAAUUCAGAGGAAACUCUGAUGGAGGUUCGUAUCGAUACUGACGUGCAAAUCGUUCGUCAUAUUUGGGUAUAGGGGCGAAAGACUAAUCGAACCAUCUAGUAGCUGGUUCCCUCCGAAGUUUCCCUCAGGAUAGCUGGAGUUGCUCAGUUUUAUCAGGUAAAGCGAAUGAUUAGAGGAAUUGGGGACAGGUUUGUCUUUGACCUAUUCUCAAACUUUAAAUGGGUAAUAUGUAGUGGUUGCUGUAUGGAACUUCUAAGAUAAAUGGCAAUAUUGGGUGGGCCAUUUUUGGUAAGCAGAACUGGCGAUGAGGGAUGAACCUAAUGUGGG